rnacentral:rRNA from 1 species
AGAGUUUGAUCCUGGCUCAGGAUGAACGCUAGCUACAGGCUUAACACAUGCAAGUCGAGGGGAAACGACAUCGAAAGCUUGCUUUUGAUGGGCGUCGACCGGCGCACGGGUGAGUAACGCGUAUCCAACCUGCCCACCACUUGGGGAUAACCUUGCGAAAGUAAGACUAAUACCCAAUGAUAUCUCUAGAAGACAUCUGAAAGAGAUUAAAGAUUUAUCGGUGAUGGAUGGGGAUGCGUCUGAUUAGCUUGUUGGCGGGGUAACGGCCACCAAGGCGACGAGUCAGUAGGGGUUCUGAGAGGAAGGUCCCCACAUUGGAACUGAGACACGGUCCGAAACUCCUACGGGAUGCA